rnacentral:rRNA from 1 species
CCUACGGGUGGCAGCAGUGGGGGAUAUUGCACAAUGGGCGAAAGCCUGAUGCAGCGACGCCGCGUGAGGGAAGACGGUCUUCGGAUUGUAAACCUCUGUCUUUGGGGAAGAAUAGAGACGGUACCCAAAGAGGAAGCUCCGGCUAACUACGUGCCAGCAGCCGCGGUAAUACGCAGGGAGCGAGCGUUGUCCGGAAUUACUGGGUGUAAAGGGAUCGUAGGCGGGAUUUUAAGUUGAAUGUCUAAUCCACCGGCUCAACCGGUGAUCGCGUUCAAAACUGCAGGUCUUGAGUGAAGUAGGGGUAGGUGGAAUUCGUGGUGUAGCGGUGAAAUGCGUAGAUAUUAGGAGGAACACCAGUGGCGAAGGCAGCAUGCUGGGCUUUAACUGACGCUGAGGCUCGAAAGCGUGGGGAGCAAACAGGAUUAGAUACCCGGGUAGUC